rnacentral:lncRNA from 1 species
GACCCUUGUUAAGAGACUUUUCAUGCUCCUAAGAUCAAGAUCACGUACACACCACAUAUAUAUAUGCUGCUUCUACACUGGAAGUACGCAACCACAUGUAUUUCGCAUCCACUAAAUAGGUUGCUCCAUACUCUAAAUGUUAGAACAUCUCUCUAAGCAUUAUUUGGUAAAUGAGACAUCAAAAGGCUAGGCAAAAUGAAAUAAAAAGAUGGACAUGUGCAAGUCCACAGAAAAAGAAAAUUGAGCACAUGAAAGCUCAUAUAUAUAAAAAAAAAGAAGAAAAAAAUGCUAGCCAUGUCUCAAUACAUAGAGAGUCUAUCAAAUAAAGGAGCAACCUAGUCCACCAUAUAUCACACUUGCACAUCUUGAUCUGGGAGUAUGACACUUCUCUUCAAGGAUCCGAGCUUUGACUUCGCAAUAUAUGCAAAGUAAGUAUGCUAUCUCCUUUCAUCCCUACCUUGAACUCCACAUAAGCCUUUUAGAAAUAGGAUGAAAUAGAGAAGGCAACUCUUACCAUAUGCCUUGGUGAGGAAUCAUACACCAUUUGAGUGACAUGAGAGAACCAUAAGAGGAACAUUUAAGCUUUCUUUUGAAAAUAUCACAAAACCUCUGAUAUGAAACUUGCUAAGAAUGAGAAAGUUAGUGCUCAAGUCAAACUGUUCUGUCUCUCAACCACCUAAGACAAAGGAAAAGCCAUAAGCCCCAUAAGGGACUAAGGUAAUAGGGGUA